CAUUGUGUGCGUGUGCCUUGUUCACAAAAAACACAAACAAUGAAACAAUUAGAUGAUAUAUUUAGGUACAGUUGUAAACACACAAAUUGCUGAGGAUGUCUUAAGUCAAGUUGAUAUUUGACUCAAAUUUAAAAUAACCAAAAUACGAACAAUUUAAAAAGUUUUCAGCCAAUAUUAUUAAAAAUAUUGAUUACUAUAAUGCACAAUUAUAAAGUACUUAACAUUUUUACUUUAGUAUAUAUUGUAAGUUUGGAAUACAUAAAUGUUAAUAUAAUACUGUACAUAUUGAAGUGGUAUUCGGGACAAAAUGACCUCAAUCUGUUGGCCUCUGGACUUCUUAUCCAUUGACCUCAAGCUUUCAGUUUAUAAGAAGGUCUGGUUUACAUGACUGAAGCAUAGACAAUUUUCAGGAUAUGAGUGCCAAUAUGCCAAAUUUAAUAAGCACAACUGGCAUUGUGGGACCAAAUGCCAGGAGAAAGUGCCUGAUAAAAGAUAUUCAUGAGAUCCUAAGAAAGAUACAUACAGAUUACCCAAUAUUUAUUCACUUAAGUAAAUUGGCCAGUCUGCAAAAUCUUAAGUCAAGGUUUGCUUUUAAUAACAAAAUUUUAUUGAGAUUUAAAAUAUUUAUAACUUUAAAACCAUUGAUCAAAUUGUUCGUCGGUUGGAAUAAUGACUUACAUUAAAAUAAGAAAUAAUAAAACAUUUGAAUCAAUUGUUUUUUUAAUGCC
rnacentral:lncRNA from 1 species